AUGGACGCUGGCGGCGUGCCUAAUACAUGCAAGUCGAGCGAACAGACGAGGAGCUUGCUCCUCUGACGUCAGCGGCGGACGGGUGAGUAACACGUGGAUAACCUACCUAUAAGACUGGGAUAACUUCGGGAAACCGGAGCUAAUACCGGAUAAUAUAUUGAACCGCAUGGUUCAAUAGUGAAAGACGGUUUUGCUGUCACUUAUAGAUGGAUCCGCGCCGCAUUAGCUAGUUGGUAAGGUAACGGCUUACCAAGGCAACGAUGCGUAGCCGACCUGAGAGGGUGAUCGGCCACACUGGAACUGAGACACGGUCCAGACUCCUACGGGAGGCAGCAGUAGGGAAUCUUCCGCAAUGGGCGAAAGCCUGACGGAGCAACGCCGCGUGAGUGAUGAAGGUCUUCGGAUCGUAAAACUCUGUUAUUAGGGAAGAACAAAUGUGUAAGUAACUAUGCACGUCUUGACGGUACCUAAUCAGAAAGCCACGGCUAACUACGUG
rnacentral:rRNA from 1 species